ACAGUUGCUGCCUGGGGCCCUGAGUUUCUCCACCGAUAAAAUUUCCAGCAUCCACAGAUUUUGUCUGAAUUUCACAUCGUGCAGCUAGCAAUGUGUUCACCGAUUACUGGAAAGCCCGCUGUUGUUCCCACCCUGGAGGAAACUGGAGCACCCGAAGAGAACGCACGUGGUCACAGGGAGAACGUACAAACUUCAUACAGACAGCACCUGUACUUGGAACUGAACUUGGGUCUUAGACACUGUAAGGCAGCAACUCUGCCACUCUGCCACCCUUAAAAAUUAACAGACAUUUGAACGUACAUGAAAUGGAAAUGUUUGGAGGAAUAUGGGCCAAACUCAGUCAAACUUUUACACCACGUUACUCCUUAUAGACUGAUAGACACAUCCAGCAUGGAAGCAGGCCCUAUGGCCCAACUCGUCCAUGCCAUCAAGAUGCCCCAUCUACGCAAGUUCUGGAAAGACUGCCCUCCAGUAUUUUCUGCAUUAUUUACAUGUGAUUUCUAUGUUAAUUAAUUUACAGCUUGUAAUUUUUCCAGGGAAAUGUUCCAGUAGAGCUCGCCACCUUGAUUAUGCUUCAUUUUGAACUCGAUAAUAAAAAUUGUCCUCUCGUUUUUAUUUUGGCAUGUCAACAAAAGAAUACCAUUUUACAUAAAGCCAUCUAUACCAGCAAAUGUGGGCAGAUUAGGGAUGGCACGGUGACACAGCGUUAGAAUCACUAGCUUACAGUACCAGAGACGCAGGUUCGAUCCUGACUGUGUGCUGUCCGUGCGGAGUUAGUACGUUCUUCCCGAAACCACGUGGAUUUAUCAGUGAAGAAAUCAACAAUGUCUUGGAUCCUAGCCUUUUGUGUGUGCAUAGUGUAUAUGCAAGGUCGAUACAGGGCGGCACAGUGGUAGAGUUGCUGCCUUACAGCGCCAGAGAUCCGGGUUCUGACUAUGAAUGCUGUCUGCACAGAGUUUGCACAUUCUCCGGUUUCCUCCCACAUUCCAAAGACGUGCAGGCUUUUGCGGGUUAAUUGGCUUCUGUAAAUUGUACCUAGCGUGUAAGAUAGAAUUAGUGCGUGGGUGACCGUUGGUCGGCACGGACUCGGUGGGCUGAAGUGCCUGUUUCUAUGCUGUAUCUGUAAACUUAAAUAAAAUGUGCUACACGCCAAUUAAGCAAGGUGGAAGGAAGAUCAAAGUUAUAGUUAGCGCAGAAGUAUUUUUCAAACUAAAUCUGUGCUUUGACAAGAUGACACAAAACUAAUUUACACUAGCGAGAUGUUAUAUUUUUCACCGAUUACGCUUCAUAUUGUCUGCCUUCUCACUUCGCAAGAGGGAAAAUAAUGUUUCAGUACACAGAUAUAAGGAAUAUGAUAUUUUUUACUUCUGACUGAAGAAAUUGUUUUGAGCAUUCUGUACAACUUUUCAACUUGGAGCAAAUAAACAACACUGACAAGCUACGUUUUUGUAAUUUCUACAAUGCUUUCCACAAAAAUCCAUUCAUGUUUUACUUUUGUUGUGUGCCUUUUGCUCCGUUAUUCUGUCCAAUGAAUCUAAUGCAAACCAAUUGCUGCUGUCUGCCAGGGACAAGUAAGGCUGAGCCAUUAUUCCAACUCUCUUAAUCUUUCUUGCCAUAGAGGCUGCAUUUUAUCACCUGUGAGCUUCCCACUGAUAUGGUGUUAAUCUUUUCGAUGAAUGAGAACUGUGUACCCUCCAAUCCAGAAACCUUGGUGAUCAAACUGCAAGCUCAGACUCACAGAGCAAUCCUGCACAGAAACAGGCACUUCAGCCCAUCAGAUCCAUGCUGCCC